GACGAACGCUGGCGGCGUGCUUAACACAUGCAAGUCGAACGGGCCCGCCCCUGUUUUUGGGGGUGGGUUGAGUGGCGAACGGGUGAGUAUCACGUGAGUAACCUGCCCCCUGCUCCUGGAUAACUGCUUGAAGGGGCGGCUAAUACGGGGUGUGCCGGCUGGUCCGCAUGGGCCUGGUCGGGAUAGUUUCAUCUUCGGGUGUUUCGGUGGGGGAUGGGCUCGCGGCCUAUCAGCUUGUUGGUGGGGUGAUGGCCCACCAAGGCGGUGACGGGUAGCCGGCGUGAGUGGGUGGGCGGCCACGCUGGGACUGAGACACGGCCCAGAUUCGUGAGGGAGGCAGCAGUGGGGGGUAGUGCACGAGGGGAGGAUGCCUGAGGCAGCGACGGCGAGUGAGGGAUGGAGGCCGUCGGGUUGUGACCCUCUUUCUCGGGUGGUGAAGGCCCUGUCCGUUGCGGCGGGGUUGACGGUAGCCGGGUAUGAAGCGCCGGCUAACUACGUG
rnacentral:rRNA from 1 species